rnacentral:rRNA from 1 species
AUGGAGGUGGUGGUGAGUGCCUCCGCGGGGAUGCUGGAGGCCCUCCUCCCCAAGCUGGCCAAGAUGCUCACCGACGAAUACAAGUUGCACAAGGGCGCCAAGGAAGGGGUCCAGUACAUCCGGGAUGAGCUGGAGAGCAUGGAAGCUGCCCUUGCGAAGGUGGCCGAGGUGCCACCAGAUCUGCUUGACAAGCAGGUCAAGCUGUGGGCAACCAAGGUGAGAAAGAUGUCCUACAACAUCGAGGACACCAUCGAUUCCUUCAUGGUGCUCGUCGAUGCUGCUGCUGGCGGCCAGUCCGGUUCUGGAUCCUCCACGACGUGCUGCUGCGUGGGGGCCAAAUCCUUGCUGCCACGGACGUACAAGGCUCGGGGCGACAUCGCCGCCGAGAUCGAGCGCAUAAAGGAGGUUGAGGAGGUGAGCAAGCGUCGUGAGAGGUACAACGUACAAAGUUGA